rnacentral:rRNA from 1 species
UACGAAGGGGGCUAGCGUUGUUCGGAAUUACUGGGCGUAAAGCGCGCGCAGGCGGUCUUCCAAGUCAGUGGUGAAAGCCCGGAGCUCAACUCCGGAACUGCCAUUGAAACUGUUGGACUUGAGUACGAGAGAGGUGAGUGGAAUUCCCAGUGUAGAGGUGAAAUUCGUAGAUAUUGGGAAGAACACCGGUGGCGAAGGCGGCGACCUGGUCCGAUACUGACGCUGAGGCGCGAAAGCGUGGGGAGCAAACAGG